CACGACCGGUUCAGAGAUGGACUUUCCCCGCAAGGGGCGUGGUGCACAGGUGCUGCAUGGCUGUCGUCAGCUCGUGUCGUGAGAUGUUGGCUUAAGUCCCGCAACGAGCGCAACCCUCGCCUUUAGUUGCCAGCACGUUUGGGUGGGCGCUCUAGAGGAACUGCCGGUGACAAGCCGGAGGAAGGUGGGGAUGACGUCAAGUCCUCAUGGCCCUUAUGGGCUGGGCUACACACGUGCUACAAUGGCGGUGACAACGGGAAGCCAGGCAGCGAUGUCGAGCCGAUCCCGAAAAGCCGUCUCAGUUCAGAUCGCAGCCUGCAACUCGGCUGCGUGAAGGUGGAAUCGCUAGUAAUCGCGGAUCA
rnacentral:rRNA from 1 species